ensembl:lncRNA
GGGGAGCAGCGCUUCGGUUGUGGCACUGCGGGCCUGGAGGCGGUGCUGGGCCGGGGAGGCUGCAGCCCCGGUCCCGGCGCUGGUUCUGAGGGGUCCCGCAGCCCCGGUUCUGAGUGAGGGGUCCUGGAGCCCCGGCCUGGUUCUGAGGGAGCCCGGUGUAGUGGUCCCGGUGCCCGGGUCCUGGUUAUAAGGGAGCCUGGAGCCCCGGUCCUGGUUCUGAGGGGUCCCGGUGCCCCGGUCCUGGUUGUAAGUGAGGGGUCCCGGAGCCCUGUCCUGGUUCUGAGGGGUCCCAGCGUUGUGAUCCCACCGUCCAGGUUAUGGUUCUGAGUGAGGGAGGCCUGGUGCUGCUGCCCUGGUUCUGAGUGGUCCCAGAGCUGUGAUCCCAGUGCCCCAGUCCUGGUUGUAUGCAAGGGGUCCUGGAGCCCAGAUCCUGGUUCUGAGGGGUCCCAGAGCUGUGGUCCCGGUGCCCAGGUCCUGGUUCUGAUUGAGGGGUCCUAGAACCCCGGUUCUGAGUGACAGAGGCCUGGUACUGUGGUCCCGGUUCUGUGUGAGGGAGGCAUGGAGCCCCGUCCUGGUUCUGAGAGGUCCCGGAGCUGUGGUCCCAGUGCCCGGGUCCUGGUUCUGAGUGAGGGGUCCUAGAACCAUGGUUCUGAGUGACAGAGGCCUGGUGCUGCUGUCCUGGUUCCGAGUGAGGGCUUCUGGAGCCCAGAUCCUGGUUCUGAGUGGUCCCGGAGCUGUGAUCCCAGUGCCCGGGUCCUGGUUGUAAGCGAGGGGUCCCGGAGCCCAGAUCCUGGUUCUGAAUGAGGGAUCCUGAAGCUCAGAUUGUGGUUCUGAGUGGUCUCAGAGCUGUGGUCCCAGUGCCCGGGUCCUGGUUCUGAUUGAGGUGUCCUAGAACCCCGGUUCUGAGUGACAGAGGCCUGGUACUGCGGUCCUGGUUCUGCAUGAGGGAGGCAUGGAGGCCCAUCCUGGUUCUGAGGGGUCCCAGAGCUGUGGUCCCGUUGCUCUGGUCCUGGUUCUGAGUGAGGGAGGCCUGGUGCUGCUGCCCUGGUUUUGAGUGGUCCCGGAGCUGUGAUCCCAGUGCCCCAGUCCUGGUUGUAUGCAAGGGGUCCUGGAGCCCCGUCCUGGUUCUGAGGGGUCCCAGAGCUGUGGUCCCGGUGCUCUGGUCCUGGUUCUGAGUGAGGGGUCUUUGAGCCGUGGUCCUGGUUGUGAGGGAGGCCUGGUGCUGCUGCCCGGGUUCCAAGUGAGGGCUCCUGGAGCCCGGAUCCUGGUUCUGAGGGCUCCUGGCACCCCAGUCCUGGCUGUGAGCGAGGGAGGCCGGGUGCUGCGGUCCUGGUUCAGAGCGAAGGAGCCUUGGACCCGGUUCUGCUCCUGGUUCCAAGGUGUCCCAGAGCUGUGGUCCCGCUGCCACGUCCUGGCUGUGAGCGAGGCGGGCCUGCAGUCCUGGUUCUGAUUAAGGGGCGCUGGAGGCCCGGUCCCGGCUGUGAGCGAGGGCUCCCGG